rnacentral:tRNA from 1 species
GGCCAGUUAGCUCAGUCGGUUGAGCAUGGAGCUGAUAACACCAAGGUUGCCGGUUCAAUCCUCAUUUGGUCC